rnacentral:misc_RNA from 1 species
UUUCCGUAGGUGAACCUGCGGAAGGAUCAUUCAUAAUAAAGUGUCUUAUGGCACUUUUUAAAAAUCCAUAUCCACCUUGUGUGCAAUGUUAGAUCUCGUCAAUCUUGGCGAGAUUUUUAUACAUCAACUCAUCCUUUAACUAAUUUGUCUGAAAAAUAUUAUGAAUACUUAAUUCAAAAUACAACUUUCAACAACGGAUCUCUUGGCUCUC